rnacentral:lncRNA from 1 species
UCCAGUGGCCAGGUACACCAAAUGAAUCACUGAACUGAACAAUGAAAGCAAAUACCUUAACUGUAUAAUAAUAAUAGUAUGUUCACAAAUAACAACCCAUGUCAACAGUAGUUGUCUUCAGAUCUGCAAUCAGUAAUCUGAUGGCAGCAAAGCAUGAUCUCACCAAGAAAAUUUGCUAAGGAUUGUUCAUAUAACUCAGUUCCAAUAUUAUAAGAAGUGCCUGAGACAAAUUCUAGCCUCUUGACUGAACGUGAAGUAGCUAGUUCAACUAGAAUUCUCCACCAUUUUAGGACCGCAACAUCUCGAAAUAAAAAAGAGGAACAGGUUCUUUGCGUACAGAAAACCAUCCAAUCUGGUAUGAAAACANNNNN